UACGUAGGGUGCAGGCGUUAAUCGGAAUUACUGGGCGUAAAGCGUGCGUAGGCGGUUUUUUAAGUCAGAUGUGAAAGCCCCGGGCUUAACCUGGGAACUGCGUUUGAAACUGGGAGACUUGAGUGUGGCAGAGGGGGGUGGAAUUUCACGUGUAGCAGUGAAAUGCGUAGAUAUGUGGAGGAACACCGAUGGCGAAGGCAGCCCCCUGGGUUAACACUGACGCUCAUGCACGAAAGCGUGGGGAGCAAACAGG
rnacentral:rRNA from 1 species